GCAGUCGCCGCGGGAAUACGAAGGGGGCUAGCGUUGUUCGGAAUUACUGGGCGUAAAGCGCACGUAGGCGGAUAUUUAAGUCAGGGGUGAAAUCCCGCAGCUCAACUGCGGAACUGCCUUUGAUACUGGGUAUCUUGAGUAUGGAAGAGGUUAGUGGAAUUGCGAGUGUAGAGGUGAAAUUCGUAGAUAUUCGCAGGAACACCAGUGGCGAAGGCGGCUAACUGGUCCAUAACUGACGCUGAGGUGCGAAAGCGUGGGGAGCAAACAGGAUUAGAUACCCGCGUAGUCCCUGUCUCUUAUAC
rnacentral:rRNA from 1 species